ACUAGCAGUUCAUCAAAGAAGUGAUGCUUGCGCUCAGAAGCUCCCCACAACCAAUACCAGAUAAUACCCUUGAUUUGCAUGAUCAUAUUCUGAGAGUUUGUUUUCACCUUUUCGAAGAUAAUCUCAUUCCGCGCUUUCCAAUUGACCAAACUACAACUGCAGGUAACAGUUUCCACAAGUUCCUCCCCAACAAACCAGUGUUCUCUUGUGGCCAAUCCUUAAUAACAUCCACCAUAGCAUGUCCCUGUAGCAGUAAACUAACCUCUAUCCUUUUACUUCGUGCCAGACAUCAUAAAUAACAGGACAAUCAAAACACAAGUGAUCUAUAGUUUCCAUCCCCGUUAAACACCACACACACUUCACAUCAGCCUACUCCAAGAAACACACCACAUAAAAAUUCUAAUCUUCAAUGGGAUUUUCAGAUUCCAAAUGACCAUAGGUGCAAAAGGUAUCAAUUCUCUCCAUCCCAUCUGAUCAUCUUCAUCAGAAACAACCAGAUCCUGCAAAGCAAUAACAUACGACAUACUUCCUUCUUAAGAUUUCAAAAUCCUAGAUAGAUCUAGCAGCAGUACACUUGGUUGAGUAUCACAAAGUUGUAACUUAAAAUCACAUUUAUCAUCUGGUCCACAACCAAUCUGAUCUGCAAGCAACUGAGCACUGCCCAUCGGACCCAAAAAAGAGGAAAGAAGAUAAAUCUACAACAUACUAACAAAAGAAGUUGAAAAAAGGUACUAGGCUAAAAUCCAUAUCAAACAACAAAAGGCUUGUUCAUAACCUUACAACAACAGAUUCAAGCAUGGGAGCCUCAUAACUAAAACAUGCAGUUUUACAGUUUAACAUACAAUUUUGAACAAAUCUCAUAUCUACUGGGCUACUGGCGAAAUAAGAACACACCACUUUAAUUCAAAAAGUAGAUACGAAAUUUAUCUCUACUCUUAUGAUUUGGGUAAUCUUCCGCAAGCAUAUGCACUAUAAUAGAGAGGGUUUCUGCAUUACGUAAGAUGGCUCUCUCCUCCAUUAAACUCAGCCAUUAUAGUGCCUGGUGAAUAUUGCUUCUCACAAGGAAUGCUUGAACCAUGAUAUUGAACGUAUGAUCAUCUGGAGGAAAAUAUCUCAACAUAAAAAUAACUUUUAAAACUAGAUCAGUGGAAAACAGCAUACGCAAAAGCUUAGCAAAAUAAACCAUGAUGAAAAUAUAAAUUCCAUACCUUUCUCCCUGCAUCAGUAAAACUGGCAAAACUAAACAAGCUUGUAUCCCAUGAAGGGGCCAUAUUUGUGAACGUUGAAGAUUUUGUAAAUGCAGGAGUCUUGUCCAAUACAAGAAAAAUAUACACUCAUUAUAUAGUUUAAUUAUUCAGUAUCUUAGUGAGUUAGUGUUUACUUUAAAGGCAAACUCAGUACAAGUAUUCAUUGCCCAAAUAUGGAAUCACAGCCUUAACUUAUUACUUCAAAAAGUAGUUACGAAGUAUAUCUAUAUUCUCAUUAUUUGGGUCAUCUGCUGCAAGCAUAUCCACUAUAUUGGAGAUGGUUUCUGCAUGACGUAAGAUACCUCUCUCGGCCAUUGUAGUCAAAAACUGCACUGCCUUACUACUAUCAUUUGCUUUGAGGAAUGCUUGAACCAUAAAAUUAAAUGUAUGAUCAUUCGGAAUGAUACCUUUCUGCCCCAUCUCCAUGAACAUAUCUUGAGCAUCAUUCAGCCUCCCUUUUUUGCAAAAGCCAUGGAUCAUCGUAGUGUAUAUCCUAGCAGUAAGCUGCAAGUCUUUAGCAGGUAGGGUGUAAAAUAGUUCCCUUGCCUCAUUUAGUUUCCCCGCUUUGCACAUAUUGCAAAUAAUGAUGUCAUAAAUCAGAACAUUGGGUUUUAAUCCAUUCUUUUCCAUCGAAUAAAAUAAUUCCAUAGCUUCGGAAAAGCAACCAUUGUCAAACAACCCAUUGAUUAAACCUGCAUAAGUGACAAUAUCUGGAUUUUGCCCAUGACCUUGCAUAUCUUUGAAAAGAUCUUGUGCAGUAGAAAGUCUCCCAACCUUGCAUAGCCCAUCAAUAAGGGUAGUGUACGUGACAGUGUCAGGUUUCAACCCAUUGCAAUUCAUAUCUUCCAAAAGUUGCAGUGCAUCAUCCAAUCUCUUAGCCUUGCAGUAACCAUUUAUCAAAAUGUUAUAACUGAAAACAUCAGGUUCAUGACCCUUAGCCACCAUGGAAUCAAAAACUCUUUUCGCCCUUUCCAUUUUUCCUUGCAGACAGUAUCCAUCCAUGAGUACACUGUAAGUGACAAUAUUGGGGUGUGUGCCUUUAGUAACCAUUGUAUCGAUUAGUUCCUGGGCAUGUUCUAGCAUCCCUUUCUUGCAAAUGGCAUCGAUUAAUGUAUUAUAUGCGUGUGCAUCUGGCAUCACCCCUUGGCUGAUCAUAUCCUUGAAUAACUUAAUCGCUUUAUUCAACUGAUCGGAUAUGCAUAGACCAUGGAUUAAAGAGUUAUAUGUGAUAACAUUUGGUUCUACACCACUUUGUUGCAUUAACUCCAAUAACUUGAAUGCUUCGCCGGUCUUGUUAUCUUUGCAUAGAGCAUCAACCAAAAUGCUGAAUGUUAUCACAUCUGGCAUGAUUCUCUUUUCCAUCAUCUCUUUUAACACACGUAGGGCUGAAGUUACCUGAUCAAUGCGACAUAGUCCAUGAAUCAACAUGCUGUAGGUAACGAUAUCUGGUACCAGUCUCCUGCUAUCAAUCAUUUCUCGGAAGAGACUGAAAGCUUUGUGAACCUGAUCUUCCUUGCAGAGACCGUCAAUAAUCAUACUAUACAUGUUAACAUUAAUGCUAAUCUGUCUCUUCUCCAUUAAUCUCAACAAUGUAAGGGCAGCAUUAGAGUCUUUAGCUUUGCAAAGACCGUUGAUAACAACUCCAUAAGUUACAUGAGUACAUGGAUACUGAUACUCCACCAUUUUUUGAAAGAGUUUCAAAGCUUGUAUCUUUUUACCCUGGAGAAAAAGACCCUUGAGAAGAGUAUUGAAAGUAACAAUAUCUGGUUGAAACCCAAGUUUCAAAAAUUGUCCAAAUACAGCAAAACCCUCUGUAUCCGCACGACCUAAUUGGCAAUAACAAUUGAUCAUAAUGUUAAAAGUAACAACAUUUGGUUGAAUUCCAAUUGAAUCCAUGGUUUUAAUUAAAGAAAACACUUUGUUAUAAUGUUUCAUUUUGGUAAUAGCUCCUAACAAUUGAGUGAAAGGGAAAAUGGAAGGUAUUGGUCGCAUUCGAAUCAAACGAUGGAACAAAUCCAAAGCUUCAUCAAUACCAAGAUCACCAGAUUUACAUCUAUCUCUCACUAAUUUCUCCAAACAAGAAGAAGAUGAUGAUGAUGAUGAUAAUGUUGUAGUAUAAAGACGAUGAUAAUGUUGUUGUUGUUGAUGGUUUGUUGUUGUAGCUACUAUGGAACGAUGAUGAUGAUGGUUAUAAUAGAAUAAAAGACAAGAACAAAACUUCAAUGUACUACUUCUACUUCUACUAACCUUUGCUGUUGUUAACAUCAACAUCAACAUCGCCAUUAAAUUCUUGAGCAAGAAAUUAAAAUGAAGAUACACGAACACGAUACAGUUGCACCACCACACAAGAUGGGCUUUAAGUUGGGCUUCAUUUCUGACGCAACAUUAUUUCGGCCGGCCCAAAUUGAAACAUUUUGUCUUUUUCUUAAACAAGUGAUUAAAACUGAAACAUUUUGUCUCUGACAAGUGAUAGUGAACAAUAACAUUGCUUAAAUGUGCCAAAGGGAGAAGAAGAUGAAAAGAUAAAAUGUAUACAGUUAUCUCAGUAUUAAGUUUAGAGAACAACUCCAAAUAUGCCUACAAAUGCUCAUAUGAAUAUCUUGCAUCAUCAACUCCACAACUCCAAAUUGAUAAAAUAUUUACUAUUUGGAAUCAUGUUAGGCCUAAUUCCUAUUACAUUGGCUUCAUUAAUCAUAACUGCAUUAGUUAUCUAGAUCAGGAAAUAGAGGAUUGGAACAGUUAAGGUGCUGUUUAUUGUUUAGAUACUAGUGCCAAAAAGCUUAUCAGCUUCAGGAUUUAGCUUAUAGAAAUAUUGCUCUACUAACCAUUCUCUACUAUCAAAUCUUACAAGUUACAAGACAACAAAAAUAAACAGAUUUUGGCGUGCUCUACAAGUUUAUAAGCUAGUAUUAGCCCCUUGAUGAAAACAAAAAACAAACACCUUAAUCAGUCUAUUGACAAAAAUCCAUCUCUCUAAGGUGGCCUAUGGAUUAAAUUUUAUUACCCCUGAGUGGGUGGGUGGGUGAUGAAAGGAUGCAUAAGAAUUGACUGUGAGAUUUCAACCCAACCCAUGUUUACCAAAUGAUAUGGCUGGUAUGCAAUACGCAGAAACAAAAAACCUCAAGUAAAACACAUAUUGGAAAGAACAUCAGAGUUACAAAUAGUCAGUCAAAAAUUUAUAAAACAUCACUAUUCCCGUUAAAGUAAAAGGCAUUUGAAUUAUAGCAUUCUAAUAUCAAAACAUUUAUUAAAAGUAAAAAACACUGGAAAAACAACUGCGUAAUCAAAACUACACGAAGCAGUAUAUGAACAAAUAGGCCUCUCUACCUUAGAAUCUGAUGAACUAAAGGAAUUGGUGAUUCUUGGCAUAGCCUCUCUACACGAAGCAGUGUAUGAUCCUUAUACCAGUUUCAGCCCAAAGACUAUGCUCGGCUGACAGUGACUCUAUAAAGCCUGAAAGAUAAGCACCAAAACACCAGUGCUAAAGUUUUUAGAACCAUAACCACUAGAUAUAGUUCUCUUCUUCAGACUAAUCUUUCAUUACUCAGUAUAUCAUGGAAAAAGAAAAUGGCAACCAUAUACUCACUGCAAAGAAAGAGAACAAAACACACAAGCAUAGACACAGUAAUUAAAAAUCUGACCUAUAAAAAUCUACAUCCACAGGUUAUUGAGCCUUCCUGAGAAAAGAAUUUUUUUCAUGGCUCCAGCAACAAAACUUGGCCGAGUAUCAUGAAGUUGAAACUCAAAUUCACAUAUAUCAUCUGGUCCACAACCAAUCUGAACUGCAAGCAACUGAGCACUACACCCCCACCCCUAAAAAAGGAAACAAGACAAGUCUAUAACAAACUAAAAGGAGUCGAAUAAAAUAAACUUGAUUAAAAUCCAGAUUAAACAAUAACAAGCUUGUUCCUAAUUUACAAAAGAAGUUUCAAACAUGCGAGCCUAAUCAUUAAAGCAUGUACAGCCACAUACAAUUUUUGAACAAAAUCUAAUCUACUCGCACUACCUUAGUUCGUCACUUCUUCAAAAAGAAGUUACGCAGUCUAUCUCUACUUUCAUGAUUUGGGUAAUCUGCCGCAAGCAUAUCCACUAUAAUAGAGAUGGUUUCUGCAUGAUGCAAGAUAGCUCUCUCCUCCAUUGUAUUUAGAAAUUGCAGUGCCUUGUGAAUAUCACUUUUCACGAGGUAUGAUUGAACCAUGAUAUUGAAUGUAUGAUCAUCUGGAAGGAUUCCUUUCUGUUCCAUCCUGUUGAACAAAUUUUGAGCAUCAUCUAGGAUCCCUUUCUUGCAAAAUCCAUUGAUCAUCGUAGUAUAUGUCCUUGUGCCAGGCUGCAAAUCUUUCAAAGAUAGGCUGUAAAAUAGCUCCUUGCCUCGUUUAGUUUCCCUUCUUUGCACAUACUGCCUAUGACGAUGUCGUAAAUCACUACAUUGGCUUUUAAUCCAUUCCUUUCCAUCAUAUGAAACAGUUUCAUUGCUUCAGAAAAAGAACCAUUGUCACAGAACCCAUCAAUCAAAGCACCGAAAGUGAAAAUAUCUGGACUCUUCCACAAGCUUGCAUAUCUUUGAAAAUCUUUUGUGCAUCGACAACUCUCCCAACCUUGCAUAACCCACUAAUAAGGGUAUUGUAUGUUACAGUGUUAGGUGUCAACACAUUGGAACUCAUAAUCUCAAAAAUUCUUACGGCAUCAUCCACUCUCUUACCCUUGCAGUAACCAUUUAUCAAAAUACUGUAACUGAAAAUAUCAGGUUCAUGACCCUUAGCCACCAUGGAAUAAAAAACCCUCCUUGCCUCA
rnacentral:lncRNA from 1 species